rnacentral:tRNA from 1 species
GGGCGUGUAGCUCAGUUGGUUAGAGCGCGGCUCUGAUAAAGCCGAGGUCAUAGGUUCGAUUCCUAUCACGCCCACCA